rnacentral:rRNA from 1 species
UACGGAGGAUGCGAGCGUUAUCCGGAUUUAUUGGGUUUAAAGGGUGCGUAGGCGGACGCUUAAGUCAGCGGUAAAAUUGCGGGGCUCAACCUCGUCGAGCCGUUGAAACUGGGUGCCCUGAGUAGGCGAGAAGUACGCGGAAUGCGUGGUGUAGCGGUGAAAUGCAUAGAUAUCACGCAGAACUCCGAUUGCGAAGGCAGCGUACCGGCGCCCAACUGACGCUGAAGCACGAAGGCGUGGGUAUCGAACAGG